AAUUUCCGCCUCAAAUGUACAGUGAAGUGGUCAUUGGGUGAAAUGAGAAUGAAAAGCUGAGAGCCAGGGAAUGCUUAGUGGAAUGAGAGGUAGCACGUUCAUCUUUCUUUAAUUUUUUUCAAUAGGCUAUUGAGUAAAUGGUUGGAAGAGAGGUCUCGACUCUGCAUUUGAAUGUGUACAUAGAAGCAACCUAUUGUCUGAACCCGGAGUUAUUUGUAACUUCAGCAUAGUGACCAGGAAAGAGAUGUCUGCAUCUCUGUCAUGCUUCACAGCAUUCUUCCAUAAAAACAUAUUAACAGCACUGCUAGAACUGUUUGAAGUUAAUACGAUUAAACUAUCUUCUGCCACUUCUUGAGUCAGUGCAUUUUUCUCAGCUCUUUCUUUCUUGUAACUCCGCCUUCUCUCCCUACCUUAAUUCUACAUCCAAUAUUUUAUUAAAUUGAGCCAAACUGACUAUAAAACAAUCAUUACUAUCCUCUUUUUACACUUGAAUGGUCCAAUCAGCAGAAGCCUUUGAACGAGAUUCCCAGCUGACUGGGACAAUCCUGAGCGGUUUAAUGGCCUUGUUGAGAACAAUGGGAUAAUUGCUUAAUAAGCCUUACCACUGGACAAUCAAGAGCCGUCAGUCAACUUGGUUUUCAUAGACAAUAUUGAAAUCUACUUCUCUUAAAUUCU
rnacentral:lncRNA from 1 species